rnacentral:rRNA from 1 species
AGGGUUCGAUUCUGGCUACAGGACGAACGCUGGCGGCGUGCUUAACACAUGCAAGUCGAACGAGGUUAAGUGAAGGAAGUCUUCGGAUGGAAUUAUUAACCGAGUGGCGGACGGGUGAGUAACGCGUGAGGAACCUGUCUUCUACAGGGGGAUAACGGUCCGAAAGGAUUGCUAAUACCGCAUAAGACCACGGAAUCGCAUGGUUCAGGGGUCAAAGGAGAAAUCCGGUAGAAGGUGGACUCGCGUCCCAUUAGAUAGUUGGUGAGGUAACGGCCCACCAAGUCGACGAUGGGUAGCCGACCUGAGAGGGUGAUCGGCCACAUUGGAACUGAGAUACGGUCCAGACUCCUACGGGAGGCAGCAGUGGGGAAUAUUGGGCAAUGGGCGAAAGCCCUGACCCAGCAACGCCGCGUGAGGGAAGAAGGUCUUCGGGUUGUAAACCUCUGUCCUUGGUGAAAAGGAAGGAUGGUAGCCAAGGAGGAAGCUCCGGCUAACUACGUGCCAGCAGCUGC